AGAUUUGUCCAUAAAGUUAUUUUUAGAUGCCUUGUGAGCAAAUUUUGUGGGAAGACAGGCAGCCAGCAGCCCCCGGCGAGCUGCUAAGCCCACCCCUCUCAGCUUACAGAGGGUAAUUAGCAGAUAAUCAUGCCAAAAUCACAGACUCCAACAGGCUAAUUUUAUCCUGUGUGCUGACAUCGGUAAGCUCGUUGAAACCACAUCAAGCAAAUGCUGAUCUCACUCUGCCUGUAGUAAAGCUUGGGACAUGCUGGGAUGCUCAGAGAGAGAAUUUGUGAGUUAAUCUGCACUGAAAGCAGACUGAAAAAUAUUUCUGGAGGAGUGCUGGAAGAUUUUCAGAUUGACAAGGAUCUGAGUGAAAACGCUCACCAUGUGGUUCCCAGAAUGGUUCCUAAAUCCAGCUUUAGGUCCUGUCAUGAGAGAAGACUGAUUUCUACUGGCACAGAAGAGCUGCAUUUCUGCAUUGUGAGUGUGCAGAGAGCCUGAGUGCCCAGAGAUGGAGUCAGAGCCCAGCUUUGUGCUCCUACAGCUGAAACCUAGGAACCAGGAGGAAACCCAGAGCUGCUGAAAAUCUGAGGCUGUUAGAAUUUUCUGAAGCUCUUUCUGCAUUUCCUUGCUGAUCCCAGGCAAGAAGCAUCCAGCUGAAACUGCUGCAGGUGUUUCAGGGUGUGACUGAAAAUAUUUCCUGAGUGUAAAGCACAAAAAACUCAUGCAGACUGGAAAGGCUUUACCAUUAUUUCCCCAACACAGAAAUGUGUGUCUGCAGUGUGGUGCUUUUUAGAACAGCAUCCACUCAGAUGGUGGGGAAUUCAUCACAGCCCAGGGUGUGUAAGAAAUUGUCCCAGCCUUUGUGCUGGGGUUCAGACAUUGCCCAGGAGCUUUCAGGGACAACCAUCAGCCACGUUCUCCACCUGCAAGUCUGCCUGGGGGGCACCUGAACAGCACUGCCAGAUUCCUCAUGGCUCUUCAGAAUGCCUGGACUUGGGAUGGACCCUGAUUUAAUGCUGGUUUAGAGCUGUUCUUCUGUGGCUGUAGUGUAAUUUGGGUUUAUAUACAGUGACUGAUCAUGUGCCAGGACUUUUAUUAUGGACAACAAAUCCCAUUCAAUCAACAGCAGAGCCCAAACAGCCAUUGUUGAACCCCAGUGCUUGGAACAGAGUUGGAUGACUCCAGGCACGCCAGAUGGGACCCACCACCCUCACUCUGUUCUGUGUGAGUGAGCAGCAUGUGGAUGGGCUGCAGAUUCCCUCACCAACUGUGCGGGGUAGGAGCUUGUGUCAGGCCCAGCUAGAGAGUUCUGCUGUCUGGAGUGGUUUGGUUCUCUGUCUGGAAUGGUUUGGUUCUGCUGUCUGGAAUGGUUUGGUUCUGCUGUCUGGAGUGGUUUGGUUCUCUGUCUGGAAUGGUUUGGUUCUGCUGUCUGGAGUGGUUUGGUUCUGCUGUCUGGAGUGGUUUGGUUCUGCUGUCUGGAGUGGUUUGGUUCUGCUGUCUGGAGUGGUUUGAGUGCAGGAGGUUUUGCAGUGUCCAGUGAGUUGGCCAAGGUGGGACCUGAUGUGAAGUCCUUGCAGCCAGAGUGCAGCAGAGCACACAACUAAAUGGGACGUGAACAGCCUGGUCAUGGCAGGGUGAAACACACGGAUUCAUUGCUCAGGUGAGGAGGCAGAGCACUGAGAGAGCCCCAAAGAAAAGCAUGAAUGGAUAUUAUCCAUGGUGUGAAACAAUAUAUAAAUAAUAUAUAAAUAUAAUAUAUAAAUAAUGGGCUGAUGGAAACCAGAUCUCUUCUGCACAUGCUUGUCGUUUCUGCUCCAAGGCAAGAAACUCCUUAGCAGUGAAAGGCUCAUCCAUGGCCAUGCUUUGGCCUCUGCUCCUUCCCCGAGGCACGUGCUGGUCCUCCUGAGACCUUUAAAAGUUCUGGACAUGACUUGGGAAAGCCAUGUGAUCUCCUGAAAGAUUUCUGAUGGGCCACAUCAGCAUGUAAGGGUAGGCCAGCAUUGUUUUUUGUGAUAGCAAAACUUCUCUCUCUCUCACUUGUUCCUCCCUGCCCCCAUUUUACAAAAAAAAACCACUGGGAUCCAAACUAACUUGUUUGAGGGCAGAAGAUGGCUGUUAAAAUAAGUGCUGCUGAUAUCAGCACCCAACAGUAUUAAUAUUUGAUAUUUUGGUCUCUCCAAUUUGCCAGUCAAGUAAAGCAGAGAAGGCAGGACUUGCCAUGUAUAGUUGUCCUCAAUGCUAAAUCCUGCUGUGAGCCAUCAGAGCAAAUAAAUUCAUUUCUCCCUUACCUUGUGCUCAUGCAAAUCACCAUGGCAGUGGAAUUAAGCUUUUGUGAGGCCAGUGUGAGCAGGAAGCAGU